CCGAAUCGUUUCGUUCUCAGUCGAGCGACGGACGAGAAGCUUGCUUCUCUGAUGUUAGCGGCGGACGGGUGAGUAACACGUGGAUAACCUACCUAUAAGACUGGGAUAACUUCGGGAAACCGGAGCUAAUACCGGAUAAUAUUUUGAACCGCAUGGUUCAAAAGUGAAAGACGGUCUUGCUGUCACUUAUAGAUGGAUCCGCGCUGC
rnacentral:rRNA from 1 species